GACGAACGCUGGCGGCGUGCCUAACACAUGCAAGUCGAGCGAAGUACUUAUCAAUAAGCCUUCGGGCAGAUUGAUAAGCUACUUAGCGGCGGAUGGGUGAGUAACGCGUGAGGAACCUGCCUUCCACAAGGGGAUAGCCUCGGGAAACCGGGAUUAAUACCCUAUGACACUUAAAGGUCCCAUGACUUUUAAGUUAAAGCGUUAGCGGUGGAAGAUGGCCUCGCGUCCCAUUAGCUAGUUGGUGAGGUAACGGCUCACCAAGGCCACGAUGGGUAGCCGGCUUGAGAGAGUGACCGGCCACACUGGAACUGAGACACGGUCCAGACUCCUACGGGAGGCAGCAGUGGGGAAUAUUGCACAAUGGAGGGAACUCUGAUGCAGCGACGCCGCGUGAGCGAUGAAGGCCUUCGGGUCGUAAAGCUCUGUCCUAUGGGACGAUAAUGACGGUACCAUAGGAGGAAGCCCGGCUAACUACGUGCCAGCAGCCGCGGUAAAAGUACUCUA
rnacentral:rRNA from 1 species